UACCUUGUAUUAGGUUUUGAGAUCGGACGCUUUUACGUUUACGUACUCAACCUUUUUUGUUUAUUUAUUCGCGCAACCGGCCUCGCGUUUUUUUUCGCUUUAUCGGUUGUCGCCGAACGCUUUUUUUUAUAGUUAGUGCCUCCUUUAGAUAUUUUUCUAAAUUAUUGUUUUCUACAACCGUCCGCUCUAUUAUAAAUAAAUCUCCUUAUAGCGUAGAUACACUACUCUUACGGCAACGUGUACUACGUCCGGAUAUUUGAUAUAAGUUUUUUUAUAACUUUUUUAAAUUUUUUCCGGCUCGUUUAUUUUCCUUUAUUUUCGUUGGGCGCUAUAACCUUAUACAGCCGUUUACGUCCACUAUGUUUUUAAUGGCCCGCUUAGGCAGUGUUUCGUUUCUGCCCGUUACCUCUUUUGUGAAUCCUAAGAUCAAGAAACGCCGACGUAUUAAAAAAAAAAAUACGAAAAAAACUUUUUGUUAGGCGCGCUGUUUAGUUAUUGAGUUCUGUUGAGUUCGUGUCUUAUUGGAUCAUAUCGAGCUUUUUUAUGAGUUUGACUCUGGCUCUGGAUGAACGCGAGCAACGUGUUUUGACACAUGCGAGUAGUGUUUUAAUUUACUAAAACGCUGCAAACGGGUGAGUAAUAUUGGGUGUUUUUUUUUUAAUUUCUGCGUACGCGCUUAACCAACUUGGUUAAAAAAAUGAACACGCUCUUGGAUUAAAUGUUGGCGUAGUGCUAGUUAAUUAUUCCUAGUUAGGUUGAGAGAUUAUCUAAUCACAUAGGGAUUGAGAAGGGCCCUACCAUCGGCAGCAGUGGAGAGUAUUGGUCAAUGGGGUUUUUACCUUGAACCAGCGCUUUGCGGGGGUGAAUGUUUUUAAAACGCAGACGGCUAUGGUAGCUGUAAAACCUAUACGCGGGUUAAAAUAAUGAUUGUACCUGAGGAGAACUCCGGGCCAACAACGUGCCAGCAGCUGCGGUAAGACGUUGACGGAGAAGCGUUAUCCGUCGUGAUUGGGUGUAAAAACAGCUAGGCCGCUAAGUUAUUCAUUUUUUGAAAAGAACUUCUUUAAGGUUUAUAGAAUGAUUAGCUUAUGCUUGGGCUGGUCGGACGUUUGUAGAAUCGUAAGUGGAGCGGUAAAAUGCUUAGAUAAUUGCGGGAUUUUCGAAAUGUGGCAAGGCGACCUGCGACGACCAGCCGACGCUGAACUGUUAAAGUAUAAGUAUCGAAGAGGAUUGGAGACCCUCGUAGUUUAUACCCUGAAUAAUGAAUGUCAAUUUUUAAAGUUAGCUAACGCAAGAACAUUCUGCCUGAAGAGUAAGGCCGCAAGGGCUAAAUUUAAAGAGAUUGGCGGGAGUUUAGAUAAAUGGUGGAAUAUGUGGUUUAAUUCGAUAAUCCGCGGGAAACCUUACCAGUGUACGGCGCCAAAUUGAGAUAACUAUGUGUCUGGUCUUAUCGAUAUUUGUUUCGUUUAGGUACUGCAUGGCUGUCAUCAGUUCGUAAUGUAGGUAUAUUUCGAACACAAUCUUUGUUAACUACUAAGUGAGAAUUUUUGCUGCGCGGUUUGAAACAAAGCAACCGCCAGCCUUACUUAUUGUAGUUUUUUCAUUUAUUUUUAAGUGAAUUGGGAGGAGAAGUCAAGUCAUUAUGGUCUUAAUAUGCUGGGCUACACACGUAUUACAGGGCUAAAGACAAUGAGUAUUGCUUUGAAGCAGUUAUAUUCUAAAAAUUAGCUCGGUUCGGAUCGUUCUUUGAAAUUGAGGAGCGUGAAGUAGGAUCAUUAGUAAUCGCAAAUAAGAUCGCUGCGAUGAAUCUUUAUACACUUUGCACACACCGCCCAUCAUAUUCGAAGAGUUGUCGCGGUUUGAAGGUUUGCGUUUGUUUCGGUACGUUUAGCCUACCGUAAACUAAUUUACCUAAAAACGCGGUGGCGAUUUGGAUGAAGUUGAAACAAGGUAAUGGUAGGGGAACCUGUUGUUGGAGUACUUAAUUAUUUUUUUAAUUAUUUUUGUAGUGUAUUUUUGUAGUGUUCCUAAGCACUGAAGGGAUACCUUUUUGUAUGUUAUAAUUAUGCGUUGAUGAUGCUAAAGCUUAGUUGAGUUCUAGAAACACGAUUUCAAGCUUAAACAACUAAAUCCAGUUAAGGGAAACAUCCUACUAGCUGGCUAACAUACUAACUGGAUAUUUGUGAGUAGUGGCGAACGAAAUUAAAUAAACCGAAUAUUACUGAAUAUUUCUAUACACUUGAUAGUUGUGGAACGACUGUACCAUAGUGGGUGAAAGUCCCUUAAUGUGUUUU
rnacentral:rRNA from 1 species